AUUGAACGCUGGCGGCAUGCCUUACACAUGCAAGUCGAGCGGCAGCGCGGGGGCAACCCUGGCGGCGAGCGGCGCACGGGUGAGUAAUGCAUCGGAACGUGUCCUCUUGUGGGGGAUAACCAGUCGAAAGACUGGCUAAUACCGCAUGAGAUCGAGAGAUGAAAGCAGGGGACCCGCAAGGGCCUUGCGCGAGAGGAGCGGCCGAUGCCCGAUUAGCUAGUUGGCGGGGUAAAAGCCCACCAAGGCGACGAUCGGUAGCUGGUCUGAGAGGACGACC
rnacentral:rRNA from 1 species